rnacentral:rRNA from 1 species
ACGGGUGAGUAACACGUAGGAAUCUGCCCUAAAGAGGGGGACAACCCGAGGAAACUCGGGCUAAUACCGCAUAAAUUCUGAGGAAUAAAGCUGGGGUUAAACCUGGCACUUAGGAGGAGCCUGCGUCUGAUUAGCUAGUUGGUGAGGUAAAGGCUCACCAAGGCGACGAUCAGUAGGUGGUCUGAGAGGAUGAUCACCCACACUGGGACUGAGACACGGCCCAGACUCCUACGGGAGGCAGCAGUGGGGAAUAUUGGACAAUGGGGGCAACCCUGAUCCAGCAAUGCCGCGUGUGUGAAGAAGGCCUUCGGGUUGUAAAGCACUUUAGGCGGGGAAGAAGGCUAGUAGUUUAAGAGAUGAUUAGCUUGACUGUACCUGCAGAAUAAGCACCGGCUAACUCUGUGCCAGCAGCCGCGGUAAUACAGAGGGUGCAAGCGUUAAUCGGAUUUACUGGGCGUAAAGGGCGCGUAGGUUGUAGCGUAAGUGAGAUGUGAAAUCCCCGGGCUUAACCUGGGACGUGCAUCUUAGACUGCGUAACUUGAGUGUAGUAGAGGGUAGUGGAAUUUCCGGUGUAGCGG